rnacentral:siRNA from 1 species
UAUGGUCAGGGCCUUGCUGUCU